rnacentral:rRNA from 1 species
AUGAUUUUUGGGUUACAUAAUGCAAGAAUAGAUAAUAUUAUUUUUAAAGAUGUGUUAGAAGAAGUAAAGGGUCUUCGAGUAUUAUUUAUAGGAAUGAACACCCCAGGAACUCUGCCAAAUAGCUUUUCAAAACUUAUCCACCUGCAGUACCUUAAGAUUAGUUCACCAUUUUAUAAGUUUAGAGAAAUGACUUUACCUGCCACAUUGUCUAGAUUUUACCACUUAAAAUUCCUGGACCUACAAGCUUGGAAUGGUAGUAGAAAGUUGCCUAGAGACAUAAGCCGCCUUGUGAAUUUAUGCCAUUUCAAUUCUUCCAAAGAACUCCACUCCAAUAUUCUUGAGGUUGGAAAGAUGAAGUGCUUACAGGAGCUAAAAUCGUUCCAUGUUAAGAAAGAGGGUUUUGGGCAUGAAUUCAGAGAGCUAGGGGAACUGGGACAACUAAAAGGAGAACUCCGCAUAUGCAAUCUUGAAACUGUGGCAUCCAAGGGGGAAGCUAGUGCUGCCAAACUGAAGAAUAAAAAGAAUCUAAAAGGGCUGAAAUUAGUUUGGGGUACGAAGCACCAAACUAUAGAUGAUGAUGUUCUUGAUGGUCUUCAACCACACCCUAAUCUUAGGGUGCUUGGGAUUAUAAAUCCUGGUGUUGCACCUUGUCCUAGAUGGUUGUGUGGUGACAUUAGCAUAAAAGGGUUGGAGGAUCUCCAUCUAGAGGGUGUAUCUUGGGGAACUCUUCCAGCUUUUGAGCAGCUACCACACCUCAGUAGUCGCACUUUCAAAAAUAUUGCUGGGAUGAGUGUGUUCGGGCUUGGCUUUAGUGGUGUUACAGAAAGAAGCUUCAUGCACCUGAAGAAGCUUGAGUUUGUGAAUAUGCCAGUGCUUGAGAAGUGGGUCAUGGAACCUAAUAGCCGUCUAUUUUCAAGGCUUGAAAGCAUCAAGUUUGGAGGUUGUCCCCUUCUCAGCUUGUUUCCCUUCACUGGUAGAAAAAGAGGCUUCCGUCCAGCCCAUUAG